CCCGCACGGGAGCCGAGCCCUGCUGCGGGCAGGGGCGGCCGCGGCCCGGGCCGCGCUGUCCGGCAGGACCAGGCGGGCCGCAGUGCCCAACAGCGCGGCGGCCAUAAAAUAAAGCUCGUUCAUAAUAAGGAGAUAAUGCUAUUCUAAGGAAAUUCUGCUGCAAAUUUUGAUACCAAAGAGCCAUUUGGAAGAGGUCUGCAAAAUGGUCUGAAACUGGCACCUAGGAAGUGGAAAGGAAAAUAUUAUUAAAUGCCCUUGUAGAAUCAAGGUACGGCCGGACAAAGGAAAGCUCCCAACAGAAGGACCCGUCUCAGGCGAGCAGGGCAAGCUGCCCUGUUCCACCCAGGAGAGGGCACUCUUACACCUGGCCACGCAACCGGACAUGGACACCCACGGGAGGAACAGGAAAGUUCAGAUGACAUCUUAAAACUCGGUCAACUUGCACGACCAGUUCGUUAUUUUUAUGAUAGUGCUAAUCACAGGUAAGGUGAAUCAUCCAGACGCUGCCACAACAGGAACGCAAUAUGACAGGCAAUAAACGUGUGGGCUAAAUUUCUUCUUAGUCUCUGAAAUGUGCUGAAUGAUAUGCAGAUAAAAAAGACAAUUUCUGCAUUUCUCUGGUAAAAGCUGGGAUCAUAGAAAGACAGCUGUAAGUGUACCUUCCGUGGAAAACGAAGGUUAAAUUUAAAAAUAUCCUAGUUGUAUGAAUAUUAAUUGUUGCCUUUUUUAAAAAUAAAGCACUAUUAUAAAUGAGCAUACAAAUAUUUAAAUGCAAAGUGCAUAUAAUCUAGUACUAACACAGCCUGUAAAGUUAAUCUUUAUAUGGAUAUCUGAAAUAUAUAAAAUAAGAAUUUCAAAUGCUACAGGUUCAACCUCUGUUUCUAAAGGGGUUGAAAUCAAUAUACAUAUCUCUUGAGACAGCUUUCCUCUCCAAUAAGUAAUCCUCCAGCAACAAAGAGAGAAGAUCAAGCCUGACAUUUUUGAUUUUUCUAAACUAAAGAAGCCAAGAUGAAGAGGUGGUAGUUUUGUUAUGCAAGACAUAAAACAGCAAAAGAGAAAUAGAAUGCUGCAUCCUGCAAAGUUAAUGUUUCAAAAAUCUCAUUUUCCUCAAAUCACAGGGGACUAUCUCAAUAAUUCCAAAUUUUCUCUGAGUAAUUAUACUAUAGAAAUGUCCUAUUGAUAUGAAAAGAAUAAAAUUAAGAAAAUAUGGAAAUGAGAAAAAGAUCACCAAGAAUCUUAACUUGAAGAACAGAAAGCACUUGGUUCUGUCAGAAGCAUCUUGGAGUCCCCAGGCAGUGCACUGGGGCUGGGGGCAUCCAUAGCCAGAGAGAAGAGCCAUGCAACUUUUCCAUGAAAAUGGAAAUUUCUCUUUCCUAUAUAAAGGAAACUGUGGCAUGAGCCACAGCCACUUUUCCAUGAAAAUGGAAAUUACUCUUUCCUGUAUAUAGGUUACAUGAUAGACAGCACUUCCCACAUUACAUGGGAAAUGACAGUGUUCAGGAUGUUUGCUUGUCCCAGCAUUGGCUAAUGAAUAUUGUUAGCCUGUCCUGCAAUAACCUUACAUAGUUUGAACCUCAACUAUAUCUCCUUCUCCCACUUCCAGAAGUCUUUCAAAACAACAUGCCAGUCAUAAUAAACAAUGCAUAGAUACUCAGAAUUGUAUCUCACUCUAUUAGUUGUGAUCAACACCAACGGGCAAAAGCAUAAACCAAUCUGCAGCCAGUUUGUAAAAGCUGCUAUUGAAAGAGUUGUUCAGUAUGAGACUAAAAUGGCGAUAGGGUCAAUAAAGAACUGUCUCCUGAAAUCAUAUAUACUACAAAUAUUUUUAAUUCCAAAAAAUAGCUAUGUCCAAUGCACUACAGUUGUACAUAUUGUGUAUGGAUUUUUCUAAGGGCAAAAUACUAAUGAGAACUUAAUUCAGGGCUUUAUUAUCAACAUACCAUAAAAUAUAUUAGGGAGUCAGACAUGGAAGUCCCUGAAAUCACACAAAGAGGCUAUGUUCUCAAUUUUUUUUCUAGGCAUUAUCUUUUUUAACAAAGCAAAAAUAAAAUAACAAACAAACAAAAACCCAACUCCCCCCAAAAAUCCAAACCAAACCCCAAAACAUGUAUUCAAAGUCUAUGGUCCUGUUCUACCCUAAACCCCUGUAGAACCUUCUGUAAAAUAGUAAAUUAUAAUAAAGUAUAAAACAGUAUUGGAGGUACAAAGUGAUACUUCCAGCAUGCUGAUUAUGUAAGGUACUGAUUUUUACACAAAUUUUGAUCCUGGCAAAACUGACCACUGCUCUGUCCUACCAUCCAAAAAGCCUUUCUAUAUCUGUCUUUCAGCAAAGAGAAAAUUAACACAGUAUUAUGGUGAAUAUCAAACAGUUGUGAGGUAAGUGAAAAAUGCCUGCUUAAGGACAAGGGAAAGGAAUGGGACAUAAUAAGGAAAAGAGAUACAGUAAUUCAUAUUAAUUUCAUUUUUGCAGCAGCAGACUCUGACAUUUGUAAUCCAAAUGAGCACAUGAAAAUGAACCUAGGUACAAACCAGACAAAAUCAUUGCCCUUUACUAUGGCUGUUACUGGAUGUUCACUACCUAUAACAUAAAAGCAUAUUCACAGGAACACAAAGGACUUUGACACUUAAUAAAGGUCAUGUUUUCCACUCCAUUCAGAGCAAAAUCUGAAUAUUGGAAGCUUAGCUUCUUUCUGUGAGCUGUCUGAAAAGACAUGAAGGAUUUAACCAGGAGAUUUUAUGUACCACCUUUAUUAUUUUUGUCUAUAGUAGUCAUAGUUGCUCAGCACACUACAAACCUAACUUUCAUCUAAGAGGCAAAAAAGCAUUAUCAUCCUUUCUCUAUUGGUGACAGAAAAGCCAUGGCCUACCUCCUCGAAAAGAAUUUGAGACAUAUCAGUGGAACUCAGAUGUCUAAAUUAUUCUGAAAAUGAAAGUACAAGAUCCCACUAUUAAGUCAUUAAAAAGAAACCAGGCCUACUGCAAAACGGUCCUUUCCAUAAAGGUAUUGAAAAUCUCAGCUGAAAAACUGGAUUGUAUAAAACAUUUUAAAGUUUUCAUCUGAAAAGAAAAAUUUAUGAAGAGAUGCACAUGCAGCAACAUUUUUACAGAAAAAUGAACUUUUCCCAGUCAAACUACAUAGGAAGAGUGAACACAUUAAAGGGACUACAUGCAUCUGUAUAUAGUUGACAGAUUUUUUAAAAAAAAUAUUUUUUUGUUGCUUGUAUUUUCUUUAUAGUGUAGAUAGUAGUUAAAAUGCUGUCUAUACUAAUGGAGGUGAAUGAAUGGCACUUGCAGAUAACAGCCCUACCAGAAGUUGACAUUUGUUGAGAUAAAUGUGUGUUGUACGUUGUCCUGCACUGCACCGUUAAAAGGGGGCCCUAUAAAGUGUUCCUGUAAACCUUAAUGUCUUGAAAGCCUCUAGUUCCUGAAUAAACAGUUCAAAAUCCAA